CCUACGGGGGGCAGCAGUGAGGAAUAUUGGUCAAUGGACGCAAGUCUGAACCAGCCAUGCCGCGUGCAGGAAGACGGCUCUAUGAGUUGUAAACUGCUUUUGUACGGGGGUAAACGCAGAUACGCGUAUCUGUCUGAAAGUAUCGUACGAAUAAGGAUCGGCUAACUCCGUGCCAGCAGCCGCGGUAAUACGGAGGAUUCAAGCGUUAUCCGGAUUUAUUGGGUUUAAAGGGUGCGUAGGCGGUCGGAUAAGUUAGAGGUGAAAUCCCGAGGCUCAACUUCGGAAUUGCCUUUGAUACUGUUCGUCUAGAGAGUAGUUGAGGUAGGCGGAAUGUAUGGUGUAGCGGUGAAAUGCUUAGAGAUCAUACAGAACACCGAUUGCGAAGGCAGCUUACCAAGCUACUUCUGACGUUGAGGCACGAAAGCGUGGGUAUCGAACAGGAUUAGAUACCCCAGUAGUC
rnacentral:rRNA from 1 species